rnacentral:lncRNA from 1 species
UCCAGAUUAAAAAGAAGAAUUUAAUGUCAUAACAAAAUAACAAAAGGAAAGCUGCAUGCAAUGAAAAGAUAGGAAAUGUGUUUUUUCCAGAAAGGAGUCUCCAGACAUCAAGUUAAACGUGAUGAGAGAUGGACAGAGCACAGCUGGAGUCAUUCCUGGAGCAGAAGGAGGAGCUCAGGGAAGAAACUGCCACCAGCCCUGAGUUCCUCAUGAUGACAAAUUCUGGUCUUCAGCUGCCUUCCCUGAAGAAUUCCCAAUAUUUUAUCCUGAAGUGCUGCUUUUGCAGAAACUUUCUGGCCUGGUUUGUAUUUUCCUGUCAGGAUCCUUGCAUCCUCAAGGCAGAUAAACCUCAUGCCAUUUGGUCUAAAUGCAGGUGUUUGGUACCUCAGUGGUGCUUUGGUCUCUUUUUUAUUCUCUUCCAUCUGGUAAGAAAUCCUUUUGUUUUAUUUUUCUCCUUCUGUCCUCUUCUUUUAAGUAACAUUUUUAACAUUAUUUUUC